UUACAUUUGUUUGAAUUUUUCCACAGCAUUAUAUUAUUUUGAGCUGGACUUACACGGUGUGUUUUACAUACAAAGCUAACGGGCUGGUGGUGGUCAUUACUGAGCCAACACUGAUAAGAGGGAAGGGUCAGCAACAGGAUUGGUUUGGGGAGUAAGAGAGUCCUCCCUGCUCAGUGAGGUCAGUAAUCCAAUUUCUUUUGUGCCUGACUGUAUCUCUUCAGGGUCACCUAACCAGAUCCUUCUCCUCCGCAGGCUCUGCUGCAGUGGUAAUUUUUUCCAGCAAUAAUACCUUUUGGAGCUCUCUUGGGGACAGACCCAUGGCCUGUUUUUUCUAGGUCUCUCCACAAGGACAAGAGAAUUGAUCCGUGGCAUUUCAUCUUCAUUCCACCUUCGAAUGUCAUCCAGCCAUGCUGCAACAGCUUUACUGCACAGAAGCUCCACAUCACUGUUCUGAUGUGCCAUUACACUUCGGUGGUGUAUCACCAGACCAGGAACUCACAAGGGGUUGAGCUUUGGCCUCACUGAAGACAACAGCACCUGCUGCCAGGCAUGGAAUGGAACGAAAGGAGACCUGACACGUCCCUCUCUUCAGCAAGAGCUGACACUACCUCUGGUGAGAAGUCUUCCAAGGUGAAAAUGCCAAAGUGAAGCCACCUCAGAUCUGCAUCCACCCUUCCACCUGCUGUGUCUUCUCCCCGAUGAGGCACUUGCUUUACUCUCAAAGGACUGCCAUCACCUUCUGUCCUUCAGCAAAGCUCAGCACGGGCUGGGUGAAUAACUCAACAUAAAGCUGGCAUAAAUCUCAACAGGAGAAAUAUCUUUUAUCUUUAACCAUUUACUCCCACUAGGAAUAAUGGCAGUUCUUUUACAUUUACAUAUAACUCUUUUUUGUUUGUUUGCUUUGAUUUUUUUUGUCUCUUUGUCUUGGCACCUGCAUAGCAGAAAUCUUUACAGUUCAUUACAGAAAUUUGCCCCUCUCUCAGAUCCUCCCUUUAUUUAUUUACCCUGCUGCCCCUGAGGACUAGCAAGCAACACCUCCAAGGUCAAGAGAGAGUAAGGUGUUACUCUUUUAUGACGGAUUAUAGAAAUAACAAACAUGCCUGACAGUUUUAUACAGCUGCUAGAACGGGUUUAGUUUUCAACAAAUGGAGAAUUUCCUCUUUUUUUUCUCUUUUGUAUAUUAAUUACAUUUUACAAAUU